rnacentral:rRNA from 1 species
UACGUAGGGGGCUAGCGUUGUCCGGAAUCAUUGGGCGUAAAGAGCGUGUAGGCGGUCCGGUAAGUCCGCUGUGAAAGUCGGGGGCUCAACCCUCGAAUGCCGGUGGAUACUGUCGGGCUAGAGUGCGGAAGAGGCGAGUGGAAUUCCUGGUGUAGCGGUGAAAUGCGCAGAUAUCAGGAGGAACACCGGUGGCGAAGGCGGCCCCCUGGUCGGAUACUGACGCUGAGACGCGAAAGCGUGGGGAGCAAACAGG